AUACCAAUUCAAGUGACCAUCUAGCAAUGAUACCCGACGUCUGGAUAGGUCGAAAAAUUGCAAAGCAUCAUUCAAGAACCUAUUGGCAUAUAGUUAUCAUAUAAUUCAUCCUUUUGAUUCAAAUAUUCAAGGUGACCUAGGAUUUAACUGCCAAUCCUGAUAUAGUCAUCUAUAUUAUAUUUUAAUUUUUAAAAUCCAUCACAUAGAUUAUCCCGACCA
rnacentral:lncRNA from 1 species